UACGGAGGAUCCAAGCGUUAUCCGGAUUUAUUGGGUUUAAAGGGUGCGUAGGUGGUUUGAUAAGUUAGAGGUGAAAGUUUGCGGCUUAACCGUAAAAUAGCCUCUGAUACUGUCGAACUAGAGAGUAGAUGCAGCGGGCGGAAUGAGUAGUGUAGCGGUGAAAUGCUUAGAUAUUACUCAGAACACCGAUUGCGAAGGCAGCUCGCUAAUCUACAUCUGACACUGAGGCACGAAAGCGUGGGGAGCGAACAGG
rnacentral:rRNA from 1 species